GCCCUUAGAGUUUGAUCAUGGCUCAGAACGAACGCUGGCGGCAGGCCUAAGACAUGCAAGUCGAACGGAGGCCCCUCCUCCGGGAGGGUGUCCUUAAGUGGCAAACGGGUGAGUAACACGUGGGAAUCUACCCCCAAGACCGGGAUAACCACCGGAAACGGUGGCUAAUACCGGAUAACGUCUCCGGACCAAAGCGUUUCAGCGCUUGGGGAGGAGCCCGCGCCUGAUUAGGUAGUUGGUAGGAUAAAAGCCUACCAAGCCGACGAUCAGUAGCUGGUCUGAGAGGAUGAUCAGCCACAUUGGCACUGAGACACGGGCCAGACUCCUACGGGAGGCAGCAGUCAGGAAUAUUGGACAAUGGGGGAAACUCUGAUCCAGCCAUGCCGCGUGGGUGAAGAAGGCCUUCGGGUUGUAAAGCCCUUUCAGUCGUGAAGAUGAUGACGGUAGCGACAGAAGAAGCCCCGGCCAAAUUCGU
rnacentral:rRNA from 1 species